AGGAGAAGCAGUCACACCUACCACAACAUGCUACGACACAUUUAAAAACAAUACUUGGCACAUUUCAUAUCACAGGUGAUAAAACCUGUCACAAGUAUUUU
rnacentral:lncRNA from 1 species